GGUCCGCUGGCUCAAUGGCAGAGCGUCUGACUACGAUGUUUAGGUUGCUACAACCCUAACCUAAGUAAUCAGGAGGUUCCAGGUUCCACCCCUGGGUGGGUCG